UACGGGGGGAGCAAGCGUUGUUCGGAUUUACUGGGCGUAAAGGGCGCGUAGGCGGUCGUGACAAGUCACUUGUGAAAUCUCCGAGCUUAACUCGGAAACUGCCGUUGAUACUAUCUGUCUUGAAUAUCAUGGAGGUAAGCAGAAUAUGUCAUGUAGCGGUGAAAUGCUUAGAUAUGACAUAGAAUACCGAUAGCGAAGGCAGCUUACUACAUGUUAAUUGACGCUGAGGCACGAAAGCGUGGGGAGCAAACAGG
rnacentral:rRNA from 1 species